rnacentral:rRNA from 1 species
CCUACGGGAGGCAGCAGUCGAGAAUCAUUCACAAUGGGGGAAACCCUGAUGGUGCGACGCCGCGUGGGGGAAUGAAGGUCUUCGGAUUGUAAACCCCUGUCAUGUGGGCGCAAAUUAAAAAGAUAGUACCCCAAGAGGAAGAGACGGCUAACUCUGUGCCAGCAGCCGCGGUAAUACAGAGGUCUCAAGCGUUGUUCGGAAUCACUGGGCGUAAAGCGUGCGUAGGCUGUUUCGUAAGUCGUGUGUGAAAGGCGCGGGCUCAACCCGCGGACGGCACAUGAUACUGCGAGACUAGAGUAAUGGAGGGGGAACCGGAAUUCUCGGUGUAGCAGUGAAAUGCGUAGAUAUCGAGAGGAACACUCGUGGCGAAGGCGGGUUCCUGGACAUUAACUGACGCUGAGGCACGAAGGCCAGGGGAGCGAAAGGGAUUAGAUACCCUUGUAGUC